rfam:Canis lupus familiaris chromosome 24, whole genome shotgun sequence.
UUGCCACGGUCUUCCUUCCAGGUCUCCUCCAUAGGAACCGCGACGGUGCCCCCAACUUAGUUCGCCGGCUGCGGCGCUGACUAACUACCGUUGGAUGCCUUUAAGGUCUUAAC